GACACUGAGGUGCGAAAGCGUGGGUAGCAAACAGGAUUAGAUACCCUGGUAGUCCACGCCGUAAACGAUGUCGACCAGCCGUUGGGUGCCUAGCGCACUUUGUGGCGAAGUUAACGCGAUAAGUCGACCGCCUGGGGAGUACGGCCGCAAGGUUAAAACUCAAAUGAAUUGACGGGGGCCCGCACAAGCGGUGGAGCAUGUGGUUUAAUUCGAUGCAACGCGAAGAACCUUACCUACUCUUGACAUCCUACGAAUUCGGUAGAGAUACCUUAGUGCCUUCGGGAACGCAGAGACAGGUGCUGCAUGGCUGUCGUCAGCUCGUGUUGUGAAAUGUUGGGUUAAGUCCCGUAACGAGCGCAACCCUUGUCCUUAUUUGCCAGCGCGUAAUGGCGGGAACUCUAAGGAGACUGCCGGUGACAAACCGGAGGAAGGUGGGGACGACGUCAAGUCAUCAUGGCCCUUACGAGUAGGGCUACACACGUGCUACAAUGGUCGGUACAAAGGGUUGCGAGCUCGCGAGAGUCAGCCAAUCCCGAAAAGCCGAUCUCAGUCCGGAUCGGAGUCUGCAACUCGACUCCGUGAAGUCGGAAUCGCUAGUAAUCGUAGAUCAGAAUGCUACGGUGAAUACGUUCCCGGGCCUUGUACACACCGCCCGUCACACCAUGGGAGUGGACUGCACCAGAAGUGGUUAGCC
rnacentral:rRNA from 1 species